rnacentral:rRNA from 1 species
AAUUCGAUUAGUUUGAUCAUGGCUCAGAUUGAACGCUGGCGGCAUGCUUUACACAUGCAAGUCGAGCGGCAGCGCGGGGGCAACCGUGGCGGCGAGCGGCGAACGGGUGAGUAAUACAUCGGAACGUGUCCCGUAGUGGGGGAUAGCCCGGCGAAAGCCGGAUUAAUACCGCAUAUGCUCUACGGAGGAAAGUGGGGGACUCGCAAGGGCCUCACGCCAUGGGAGCGGCCGAUGUCCGAUUAGCUUGUUGGCGGGGUAAUGGCCCACCAAGGCGACGAUCGGUAGCCGGUCUGAGAGGAUGAUCAGCCACACUGGGACUGAGACACGGCCCAGACUCCUACGGGAGGCAGCAGUGGGGAAUUUUGGACAAUGGGGGAAACCCUGAUCCAGCCAUGCCGCGUGGGGGAAGAAGGCCUUCGGGUUGUAAACCGCUUUUGGCCGGAAAGAAAAGGCGCACCCUAAUACGGGGCGCUCUUGACGGUACCGGCAGAAUAAGCACCGGCUAACUACGUGCCAGCAGCCGCGGUAAUACGUAGGGUGCGAGCGUUAAUCGGAAUUACUGGGCGUAAAGCGUGCGCAGGCGGUUCUCCAAGUCCGUUGUGAAAGCCCCGGGCUCAACCUGGGAAUGGCAGUGGAAACUAGGGGACUUGAAUCUGGCAGAGGGGGGUGGAAUUCCACGUGUAGCAGUGAAAUGCGUAGAGAUGUGGAGGAACACCGAUGGCGAAGGCAGCCCCCUGG